UUAUUUACUAACUUGCUCCACUCUCUCUGAAAACAUCUUCUCUCACAGUUUCUCGCCUUGUUCCUAUCCAUCCUCCUAAUUGUAAAAUCUCGCAUCAACCACGCUCCAUAUUAGCUUGCUCAGUCUUGAAAGACAGACUCGCAUGCAUCCAAACAAUGGCCAAAAAUUUGAAGAGAAUCCAAGAGGAAAUCGAAAAGAUGUAUAAGGACGAGAGGACUGAAGUUCUGGGAAAAGAGCUGUAUGAUAAGCGCGAGAUAUUUGAUGAGUACCUCAAUUCUAUUGAGGUUGAAGACAAUCAAGAUGCCAAAUCAGGCUAUUCAAUCACCUUUAACUUUGAUGAAAAUCCAUAUUUUGAUAAUCCAAGCCUUGCAAAGUCUCUUACCUUCCAUGAAGGAAAACUUAAAGAGACUAAGGCUACAACUAUACAAUGGAAAAAGGGUAAAAGUAUGCCUGAUGAAGUUCUUGAGAGCGACGAUGACAAUGAAGUUUGUCCCGAGAAGGAUGAUGAGCUCAUGUAUGAGGUGAAAUUGACUGUUUGGAGUUUCUUUAAUUGGUUUCAUACCAGUAAGGAGCAAAAUGAAAUGAGGUUUCCUGAUCAGGUUGCAGAUCUUAUUAAAGAACAAACUUUUGAUUGAUCCGUUCAAGUAUUUACAUAUUGAACUUGUGGAAACUGAUGAGGAUGGAGAAUGUCAAGUUGUGUAAAGUAAAAGAACAAGGAAUCUGGGAGAAGAAGAUACGAAGUAGAAAGAUCGGUAGCUGAGGUCUUUUAGUUGAAGAUAAAAGGAGUUAUUUAAUUUGUAGUUUAUUUUAGCUUUUACUUAUGCUUUUUAAGUGUUUAAUCUUCGGAUGAAGACCAUACACAACAUAUAAACAUCAAUCAUCAGCAUCAUGCUAAAGAAUGAAAGAUCCACCCUA